ACAAUGAAGAGUUUGAUCCUGGCUCAGGAUGAACGCUAGCUACAGGCUUAACACAUGCAAGUCGAGGGGCAUCAGGAAGAAAGCUUGCUUUCUUUGCUGGCGACCGGCGCACGGGUGAGUAACACGUAUCCAACCUGCCCUUUACUCGGGGAUAGCCUUUCGAAAGAAAGAUUAAUACCCGAUAGCAUAAUGAUUUCGCAUGGUUUCAUUAUUAAAGGAUUCCGGUAAAGGAUGGGGAUGCGUUCCAUUAGGUUGUUGGUGAGGUAACGGCUCACCAAGCCUUCGAUGGAUAGGGGUUCUGAGAGGAAGGUCCCCCACAUUGGAACUGAGACACGGUCCAAACUCCUACGGGAGGCAGCAGUGAGGAAUAUUGGUCAAUGGGCGCUAGCCUGAACCAGCCAAGUAGCGUGAAGGAUGAAGGCUCUAUGGGUCGUAAACUUCUUUUAUAUAAGAAUAAAGUGCAGUAUGUAUACUGUUUUGUAUGUAUUAUAUGAAUAAGGAUCGGCUAACUCCGUGCCAGCAGCCGCGGUAAUACGGAGGAUCCGAGCGUUAUCCGGAUUUAUUGGGUUUAAAGGGAGCGUAGGUGGACUGGUAAGUCAGUUGUGAAAGUUUGCGGCUCAACCGUAAAAUUGCAGUUGAUACUGUCAGUCUUGAGUACAGUAGAGGUGGGCGGAAUUCGUGGUGUAGCGGUGAAAUGCUUAGAUAUCACGAAGAACUCCGAUUGCGAAGGCAGCUCACUGGACUGCAACUGACACUGAUGCUCGAAAGUGUGGGUAUCAAACAGGAUUAGAUACCCUGGUAGUCCACACAGUAAACGAUGAAUACUCGCUGUUUGCGAUAUACAGUAAGCGGCCAAGCGAAAGCAUUAAGUAUUCCACCUGGGGAGUACGCCGGCAACGGUGAAACUCAAAGGAAUUGACGGGGGCCCGCACAAGCGGAGGAACAUGUGGUUUAAUUCGAUGAUACGCGAGGAACCUUACCCGGGCUUAAAUUGCAGUGGAAUGAUGUGGAAACAUGUCAGUGAGCAAUCACCGCUGUGAAGGUGCUGCAUGGUUGUCGUCAGCUCGUGCCGUGAGGUGUCGGCUUAAGUGCCAUAACGAGCGCAACCCUUAUCUUUAGUUACUAACAGGUUAUGCUGAGGACUCUAGAGAGACUGCCGUCGUAAGAUGUGAGGAAGGUGGGGAUGACGUCAAAUCAGCACGGCCCUUACGUCCGGGGCUACACACGUGUUACAAUGGGGGGUACAGAAGGCAGCUAGCGGGUGACCGUAUGCUAAUCCCAAAAGCCUCUCUCAGUUCGGAUCGAAGUCUGCAACCCGACUUCGUGAAGCUGGAUUCGCUAGUAAUCGCGCAUCAGCCACGGCGCGGUGAAUACGUUCCCGGGCCUUGUACACACCGCCCGUCAAGCCAUGGGAGCCGGGGGUACCUGAAGUACGUAACCGCAAGGAUCGUCCUAGGGUAAAACUGGUGACUGGGGCUAAGUCGUAACAAGGUAGCCGUACCGGAAGGUGCGGCUGGAACACCUCCUUU
rnacentral:rRNA from 1 species